GAUAAACGCUGGCGGCGUGCCUAAUACAUGCAAGUCGAGCGGUAAGGCUUUACACUUAGUAUUUGAUCAAUGUAACUUCGGUUACGAGAGUAAUUUAUAUCGAACCCGGCUGGGGGAGAUAUGAUGAGCAAGAUCGAGUAUCAAGUGUAGAGUACACGAGCGGCGGACGGGUGAGUAACACGUGGGAAUCUACCCCAAACUGAGGGAUAAGCAUCGGAAACGGUGUCUAAUACCGCAUAUGGUCUUCGGAUUAAAGCUUCGGCGGUUUGGGAAGAGCCCGCGCAAGAUUAGCUAGUUGGUGAGGUAAUGGCUCACCAAGGCGACGAUCUUUAACUGGUUUGAGAGGAUGAUCAGUCACACUGGAACUGAGACACGGUCCAGACUCCUACGGGAGGCAGCAGUAAGGAAUUUCCUACAAUGGCGAAGCCUGAUGAGCAACGCCGCGUGCAGGAUGAAGGCCCUAGGGUUGUAAACUGCUUUAUAUGUGACGAAUA
rnacentral:rRNA from 1 species